AUCUCCCUCUUCAACCCAACACUACCGGUACCUCCACCCUAUUCGAGUCACACAUCCUCUCCAAUCCCUCCGACAGAUCCAUCACCUCCGGCGAGAUCCCUCUAUUUUAGGUAAGUCCACGAGCAGUGCAUCCUCCUCCGGCUGGAUCCCCCUCGGUAUUGGGCGUGCACCCCCUCUUUCAGCCAGAUCCUCCCCUCCCCUUGCUUUUGAGCGCCUCAAUGGUGGACAAGGACCUCACCUCUUCUUCCUCUCGCUUCAAGUCGGCGAGGUAGCGUUGGCAUCCUCCGGUGAGCUCCCCUUAUGAAGCAACGAGGCACCAGAAGCAAAUAAGUUUAGAUGGAAUAUCUGAAACUGCCCCAACUCUUGUAGGCCAUAUUCACCUAGACAAGCACAGUUAGAAAGGAUAAACAUAAGUACUCAAGAUAUUUGCCAAAAAUGCCAAGAAGUACAAGGUGCAUUACCAGCUAAGUUAACUUGCUAAAGGGACAAACACCUAAUUAGGGACAGUACUGUUAUAAACGGAUCUUGACAAAGAAUCUGUUCAGGACUCAUUCUUAGAUUUGGUGUCCUCUAUUCUUUGCGAGAAGGGUCCAGGAGAGGCUCUGCAAUGUCUGAAUGUUCUAUGGACAUUAUUGUUGGGAUUUUUACUUCUGGAUGGUUUUAGUGUAAGCCUGCAAGAUUUUAACGUUCUGAACAGGAGGAGGCUUAUAGAGGAAAAACAUUAUACAUCAAUUUGAAAUUUCAGAUCAAGUUUGUGGUGAACCUGACAAUGUUUUGGCUGCUGAAUGUGAUGGUUUCCAUCUUCUUCUUUUUUGCCGUUCUAGGUUAAUGUUUGGAUGGUUUGUGAAUGUAGCCAACAAAUCAUUGUACUUUCCUGAUAAUUUGUUUCAAAACCUUAUAUUAUUCUGAAUGUAUUGCAUU